rnacentral:rRNA from 1 species
GCCAGCAGCCAUAUCACCCUGCAACUCACAACUUGCAACCCACUGACGUCAAGCAGGCGUGAGCCUGGUUAGAAGUUGGAUGGGAGACCUCCUGGGAAAUCUAAGGUUGUUGCUGGAA